rnacentral:rRNA from 1 species
GAGUUUGAUCCUGGCUCAGGAUGAACGCUAGCGGCAGGCCUAAUACAUGCAAGUCGAACGGCAAGUUGAGUAGCAAUACUUGACCUAGAGUGACGUAAGGGUGCGUAACACGUAUGCAAUCUGCCCUCAACUGGAGGAUAGCUCCCCGAAAGGGGAAUUAACACUCCGUAAUAUAUCGAGGAGGCAUCUUUUUGAUAUUAAAACUCCGGUGGUUGAGGAUGAGCAUGCGUCUGAUUAGCUAGUUGGUAGUGUAACGGACUACCAAGGCGAUGAUCAGUAGGGGAACUGAGAGGUUGAUCCCCCACACUGGCACUGAGAUACGGGCCAGACUCCUACGGGAGGCAGCAGUAGGGAAUAUUGGACAAUGGGUGCAAGCCUGAUCCAGCCAUGCCGCGUGCAGGAAGAAGGCCUUCUGGGUUGUAAACUGCUUUUGCCAGGGGAUAAAAAGCCCAUGCGUGGGAAAUUGAAGGUACCUGGUGAAUAAGCCACGGCUAACUACGUGCCAGCAGCCGCGGUAAUACGUAGGUGGCAAGCGUUGUCCGGAUUUAUUGGGUUUAAAGGGUGCGUAGGCGGCCUUGUAAGUCAGUGCUGAAAUAUCCCGGCUUAACCGGGAGGGUGGCAUUGAUACUGCAGGGCUUGAGUAAAGUUGAGGUUGGCGGAAUUGACGGUGUAGCGGUGAAAUGCUUAGAUAUCGUCAAGAACACCUAUUGCGUAGGCAGCUAACUAAGCUUUAACUGACGCUGAGCACGAAAGUGUGGGGAUCAAACAGGAUUAGAUACCC